CCAUGUGUCCACGUGCCAAGCUUGUCAGCAAGACUGUGAGCUGCCUGAGGGGGCUGAUCUCACACUGUGCCCGGUUCACGGCUCAUGCUGAGCACUGGACAAACCGUUUGGCAAGAACAGAUGAAUUAUCCGUGGGCCUGGGGGGGGGAGCUCCCCAGGUGCCGGGGGUACCUCCCACCCCGUCUCCUGCUGUGGCCCUUGUCCCCAGCCGUCCUGCGGCUCACGGAGGCCGUGCAUCCUCCGGGCCACUUCCAGACAAAGUGCUGGCCCUGCCGGAGCUGACAAAGCUGGUCAGGCUUCCCAACCCGGCGGGUUUUUCACCGCAGCCUGGCGAAGGGUCGCUGCGCCACCCGGUGGCGACAUGUGGGGACUUCACCUUUUCCCUGCCCCGGACUCCAGAGCCCGUGAAUGCAGCGUCCAGGCCCGGGAGCCGCCUUAGGGCAGGUACCCGCAAUGGGCACGCACGCACACCAAGCUCUCCCUUUGAAAACGUACCCAGGAAGAAACUACUUCAGUUUUCUACCUGGGAAAACCUGCAGCUCAGAAGCCCUUCAGACCUGCACUCCUGGGGCCCAGUACCAGGGUCACUGCUACCCAACAGAUGGCAAGUAUAUCAUCCCACACUUAUUUUCAUAUUUACACAAACUAUGUGUUUGUUUUAUGUCUUUAAACAAUAUAAUUGAAAUCUGGUUGUCAUGGAAUCCCUGGGUGGCACAGCGGUUUGGCGCCUGCCUUUGGCCCAGGGCGCGAUCCUAGAGACCCAGGAUCGAAUCCCAUGUUGGGCUCCUGGUGCAUGGAGCCUGCUUCUCCAUCUGCCUGUGUCUCUGCCUCUCUCUCUCUCUCUCUCUGGCUAUCAUAAAUAAAUAAAAAUUAAAAAAAAAAAGAAAUCUAGUU
rnacentral:lncRNA from 1 species